GUGCUCGCUUCAGCAGCACAUAUACUAGAAUUGGAAUGAUACAGAGAAAAUUAGCAUGGCUCCUGCGCAAGGAUGACACGCAAAUUCAUGAAGCCUUCCAUAUUUUU
rnacentral:snRNA from 1 species